UGUUUUUACUUGUUAGUGGAGACCCGUCAUAGUUGUCAGACCCUUCAAGACCACCACAUUUAUUUCAGCAUCACAGGUCAAGGGAACAGGGCCAAAACUUAAACAUGAUUUUAGACAAGUGCACUUGUGACUAGACCUUGGGACCGACUUAUACGGAUAUAUUCUAUUUCUUUAAAGAUGUCGAAACCGGAAUCUGACCUCAAAGAAAGAUUGAGAAACCUCUUCAAAUUCAGCAGAGCUCCAGCACCUUUGACAGCGCAUAGAACUCAAACAAAAGAUAUCGUCCUCACUCCUGAUGUAUUGAGGGAGAUCUGUCCUGAGAGUCCUGCCAACAAUCGAAUCCGGACCAUCCGUGACCUCAGUGACACAGUGAAGAAGAAGAGGUUAGAGGAGAAUGCAAUAGAGGCACUAUGGAAGAACAUUAGUGACCUCCUCCAACCCCAAGUAAACACAGAAAGUCGGCUUGUUGCUUUACACUUCCUGAAGUGUCUCCUGGAGGGACAGCUACAGAAUCUUGGCAUCCUUAGAGGACAUUUCUUUAAGGUCAUCAAAGCCUUGACAGGUCCUGACGAUCUCUCACACAGGCUGGAUCUCUUCAGGAUUCUAAGUGAAAAUGGCAAGAGCCUGCAUGACUUUGAAGAUGAAACGGGUCCUUUCCUAUUGAAGUGGAUGUCGGAGGUGAUAUCAGCUGGUUACAUCAGCAACUUCCUGUCUCUGCUUAUCAACGUCAUCAAAUACAAUGCAGCCUACUUGUAUGAGGAUGAAGUGGCCGGCCUUGUGCAACAGACCUGCAUGAUUCCCAACAGCACACGUCUUGAUGAAGAGUAUAAUCUAAAGAUGUGUCUGGCUGUCCUUGACUCUGUGGUCAGCUACAGCUAUCUACCCACCUCAGCUCUCUACCACUCUGUAGCUGCUCUGUGCCACAUGGUCAACAAACCCAAGUUCUGUGACGACAGCUGGGAGCUGAUGCGGAAACUGCUGGGCACUCACCUGGGGCACAGUGCGGUCUACACCAUGUGUUGUAUGUUACAGGACAGCAAGCUCUUAGCAGACUGCCUAUUGCUGCGAGGAGCUGUGUUUUUUGUUGGCAUGGCUCUGUGGGGAGCUCACCGUGUCAGCAGCCUCAGGAACACCCCCACUUCGGUUCUACCCUCCUUCAGACAGGUUUUAUCCACCUCAGACUGGCUGGUCGCCUAUGAAGUUACCAAGUCUGUUCAGAGACUUGUGAGAAAAUAUGGCAAGGAUCAACAGCACAUCACCUGGGACAUUCUGCUUGAUAUCAUUGAGAUCAUCCUCAAACAACUGCAUACGGCACAGCUGAGUGGUGCUGUUCCUGACUCGGCCAGGCAGUGUCAGCUGGAGGUGCACGACGUCCUGUCUGCCGUGGAAGAACUACAUCGACACGGGCACUUCCUCGGAUCUCCACACAGGUUCUUCACCAUCCUGGAACUCUGUUCCAAUAACAGAUCGGAGUCUUCUGUUGAGAUGCUGAUGGAGCACCAGGCCCAGGCCAUACACCCAGGCAAAGAGCAGUGGAUGCAGAGUCUGAACCACCUCAUGGACAAGUACUUUAGGCAAGAAACCAGAACUGGCAUUCGCAAGAAAGCUUUGGAUAUCCUGUCCCAUGUACUCAGCAUUAACAAACAUGUUUAUGAGAGCGACCUCAUUGAGCGGGUUGUGUUGCCACAUCUUGGCCACAUCGAGUCUGACCUUGACCCCGAGGUGAGAAAGGUGACCGUUGAGAUGUUGCUGGUGCUUGCGCAGGACUGUAAGACAGGCGAGUUCCAGGACAUCAUGGCAGUUGUUGAGAAGGUGAUAAAGAAACCCCUGAGCACAUUCCCUGCCGGGGGCGAGAUGGAUGUCAGUCAGCCGGUGGACGAAGCUUUAGUGGUGGAUGUGAAAACAGCUGUCUUCAAACUGUGUGAUGUCUUCAAGCACCGGUUGUACAUAAUUCCAUCAAACUACUGUGUCAGGAUUUACAGUCAGCUCAUCAGUCAUGUGAACACCCACUAUAUCCAUGGUUAUAGCGGAUACUCAGCAUCCUGUAUCAGACAAUCGGUUAUGGAGUUGCUUCUACAACUCAGGUCAGACAGUUUCCACCGCAUCGGCUUCACAGAGGUUGGACAAGAUGGCCCAUUUAGCCCGUAUAUCACAUGUAAACAGAGGGAUGAGAGGGAAGAAGAGGCUCCGUCCAGCCCUGUUACAGCUGCUGGUGUGACCCCGAGUCCCUGGUACCAACCACCUGCCAUCAUACAGUACAGUGAAGCAUUCAAGCUCUACAUCACCUGUUUACAACAUGAGUUUGACUGGCAUGUACUGAAGUGUGUCUUGGAACAUCUCCCUUUAGUCCUGCAGAAUAAGACCCUGAUUCUCACCACCACAGACAACAUGGUGGCGACUCUCUGUCAUCGUCUUUGUGCCAUGGUAAAUGACAGGUCUUUGGGAUUUCUUGAGAAACUACAGAGGUUACCAUCCAAAUUGACACGAUCGGACUUCCAUUCCUAUGUGUUUCCUGUGCUGGCUACCAUGGUCACCUACCAUGAUUACCUGGACAGAAAUGGACAGAAAGAGCUGCUGAAGUGCCUGGAGUUUGGCCUGGUGUCCAAGUGUGCCAAGACGUGUGUGAGUGCUCUGCGUAUUUCGGCCCUGGAGAUGCAGGAGGUUAUGAUGAGGUUGCUGCCCUCUGUGUUGCUGUCUCUCUCCAAGAUCUCGGCCACAAUGUCCAUGGCCAUUCCUGUCCUAGCUUUUCUAUCAAGCAUUGUCAGGCUGCCCAAUCUUUAUGCGAACUUUGUAGAAGACCAGUACAUGAGUGUGUUUGCUAUUGCUCUCCCCUACACAAACCCAUUCAAGUUCAGCCACUACACAGUUUCCCUGGCUCACCAUGUUAUUGCCAUCUGGUUUGUCCGGUGUCGCCUCCCAUUUAGAAAAGGAUUUGUCAAGUUCAUACACAAGGGCCUCAGGGCUAAUGUGCUGCAGCAAUUUGAGGAGAACUCUGUGCACAACCUCCAGAAUCAGGACAGCAGGAACCAGGACUCAACAAACCGUAUCCGCAGUGGCUCGUACAGUGAAGGGGGACGGGUCAGACGCAGAAUGGUGUCGGGAUCUGCUUUGACCAAACGGGACCCACCACCUGUGGAUGAGAAAAUGACUCUCUUCCAUCGGGAACUGACUGAGACAUGCACUGAUGUCAUGGCCAGAUAUGCUUUUGCCAACUUUUCAGCAGUACCACACAGGUCUCAGCUGGUACAGUUUUUACUCUCUGGAACACAGAAUCAGACAUGGCUGCUUGGCAACAAAAUCAUCACCAUAACAACAAGUGGGAGUGGUGUUAAGGCAGCUAAUGCCGGUGUUUGUGAGAAAUGCAUCCUGUUAUAUCAUGAAGCACAAGAAGGAAGACAGCCGCCAGUUUCUGCAAAGAGAGAGCGCCGCAGGCACAAGUCUGCUGCCUGUCUGAGUCGCAGUCAGAGUCAGGUGGAGCCCACCUCCUCCCCUAGUGCUGAUGAUAUUGGUGUGCAGCAAACCAAGUGGUCACACGACGACCUCAGUGUCACCCGGGGCAGUGACGAUGUAGGAGUCCAAACUGGCAGCUCACUGUCAGGGGAUUCUCUUGACUCGUACCUCUUUGGUUCGAAAAGUGAGACGGAAGAGAAGCCCUUCUCCCCUAGCCUGCUUCCCUGUACCUGCUGGUGCAUUGGCUGGGCAGAAGUCAACAUCCGCGGGCCCAGUGGCAAUGUAUCGUGGGUCAUGAGGAUCGAGAAUGAGAUCAGCUCCAGUGCUGCAAGCCGUGAGGUCUCCUUACAGGACAUCACAAUGUUGUUUAAACCUAUGCGAGAGGAGUGGCACAGCAGCAAAGAGGGAGGCCGAAAAAUUGAUAGUGAGAGUCUUGGAGAGGAGGAAUAUGAGUCUCUCUACUCCAAACACUUCUCAGCUUACAUUGAUGAUGGCAGCAUGUUGCAGUCAGCUGUGUCUCUUACUGCACAGGGAGAAUCAGUUGCAGUCCAGGCAAGCGUGUCUUCUUUGGACCAUUGCCUCACAGUGACCAGCAGUGACCCCUCCACUGAUGGGGGAGCCAACACAAACAUGCACUUUCAGUCACCAUACUCGCUGCGUAAGACAAGUUCCUCUCCUUCUUUGUUUGGGUCCUACAGUGAAGAGUCCGGCUUCCCAGACCAGUUGACUGACGACAGACUCAUGGAAGGCACAGAGGUAGUGCUGGAGCACAAGGCAGAGGUACCCUCAACCCUCCAUGCAGUGGGAGGACUAGGUGAGGAGCAGGGUCUCCACGCAGGUGGUGUACCAUCAGAAGGAACCAGCCUGGGAGAUUGUCAAACAGACUCAACUCCUCUACAACUCUUAGAGGAAUGUGUAGCCAGAAGACAGGACUCCUCUCAACAGUGGCAGCAGCAGGCAGGCAGCAGUUCCCACGACUCAUCUGUGCAAGAUGAGGUUUCAGAUUUACAACCUGUCAAAAAGAGAGGCCACACAAUUUCUGUGAUGUCCCCUGCCCAGGAUGUCAGACAGUCGGACGACACUGAUCCGAAGGGGGCGAAGGGAGGCCGAAGCAAAGAAUUCAGAGGAGGUGUUAGUCCAAGUUUUGUAUUUCUGCAGCUGUUUCACAACCAUCCACUCUUCAGUGGAUCUGACACCCCAGUUCUCCUUCCUCAAACUGAGACUAUAAACCGUGCUCUGCGGAUGUUGGACCACAUUCACCCAUAUGAAACUCACAAGAUUGGUGUGAUAUAUGUUGGCCCAAACCAGGUGACGGAUGAGAAAGGGAUCCUGUGCAAUCUGUUUGGUUCCCCACGCUAUGCACGGUUUGUGCAAGGACUUGGAGAGCUAAUACACCUGCAGGAAAUUGACCCUGAUCGCAUAUAUGUUGGAGGUCUGGCACUGACCGGAAGUGAUGGCCGGUUUGCCUACAGCUGGCUGGAUGAGUCCAUGCAAGUUAUUUUCCAUGUGGCUACUUUAAUGCCAAACAGAGAGUCUGAUCCCAACUGCAAUGCUAAGAAACUGCACAUUGGAAAUGACUUUGUGACGAUCGUGUACAAUGACAGUGGUGAAGAGUACAAGAUGGGAACCAUCAAGGGGCAGUUCAAUUAUGUAAACAUUGUCAUCCGUCCACUGGAUUAUGAGAGCAAUGCAGUGACUCUGCAGACUAAGGAAGUUGACAAGGAAGUUUGGAGUAGUGUGUUUGUCUAACUGUAACAGCAUAGACUGGCUGGCAUAUGCCUGGACUACUGAGGGUUAAUGUAAGCAACUUGAUGAGAUGUGGCAGAGCCAUAUGAGUUCAAGGGGCAAAUAUCUACAGAUAUUGCUGAUAUCCUUGGUCACACAGACACCAAGAUCAUCUCUGACAGCAGCCUGGCAGUGCUGGUGCGACAGAUUGCAAUGCAUUGUAAU
rnacentral:misc_RNA from 1 species